rnacentral:tRNA from 1 species
GUCUAAAUAGCUUAAAUUUGAAAGCUUAAUAUUGAAGAUAUUACAAUAGGUAAUCCUUUUAGAUA